rnacentral:tRNA from 1 species
GCCUGGCUAGCUCAGGUAGAUUAUGAGACUCUUAAUCUCAGGGUCGGGGGUUCGAGCCCCCCGUUGGGCG